AUUGAAUUAAUGUUGUCGGAUGGAGAUGGCACGAAUCCAAAGUUUUACUCUUAUUACAUUGAAGUUUCAAUGGAUCAACAACAUUGGAAUACUUUAAUAGAUCAUUCAAAUUAUAAUUGUCGAUCAACUCAACAAUUGUGGUUUCACCCCCUCAUAGUUCGGUAUAUACGUUUUGUUGGAACCAAAAGUACUGCUAAUGAGCUUUUUAACAUUAGGGAUGUCAAUUACAAUACAAGCCUAAAUCACAAGGUGGAUAUCAUAAAUGGAUUAGUCGCUCCGAAACACGUGUUAAAUGUCGCUAAAAGAUAUAUGAAUGCAUCUGUAAUCAAAGGUGAAAAUAGUGUAAGAGAUUAUUCGCUAUUAGAUUACUACUAUGAAAGCUUGUCUAGACAUAACGAAUACACGUGGCAUCGGCUGG